AUGAAGAAAAAUAAACCCAAGAUGAUAGUUACAUCAGUCGAAAUGAAUGAAGUGACCAAGACCUGUGGUUUAGAGGAAAAGAAGAAUAUUGAAGAGAAAGAUAAGGAUACCACCAUAAUAAGAUGAAAAUACCUGAAAUAAUAGAGCAGAGAAGAGAAGAAAGGGAGGAUUAGAGGAAACAGGAAAACAGACUCCAUCACCAGUCUAAGUUCUUCAUCUCAUUCUUGACAAUUCAUUGACCACAAGAAAAAUUGGCUCAAGAAGCUUCAGAAGUCACAUCGUUAGCAAGAAAUUACACAAAAUAUGACUGUACUAGCAACAGAAACUACAGAAAAUAAAAAUGUUAAAAGUUAA